ensembl:snRNA U12 U12 minor spliceosomal RNA
AUACCUUCAAUUUAUGAAUAAGGAAAAUAACGAUUUGAGGUGACGCCCGAAUCCUCACUGCUAAUGUGAGAUGAAUUUUUGAGCGGGUAAGGAUUGCCUCUAAGGUGACCUGCCUACUUUGCGAGAAGCCUGGGAGUCACGAUCUGCCCC